GGACCCGCACAAGCGGUGGAGCAUGUUGUUUAAUUCGAUGAUACACGAGAAACCUUACCAGCCCUUGACAUGUACAUUAUACUUUCUGGAAACAGAUCGUUUCGGUUCGGCCGGGUGUACACAGGUGUUGCAUGGCCGUCGUCAGCUCGUGUCGUGAGAUGUUGGGUUAAGUCCCGCAACGAGCGCAACCCCUAUUGUUAGUUGCCAGCAUUAAGUUGGGCACUCUAACGAGACUGCCGAUGAUAAAUCGGAGGAAGGUGGGGAUGACGUCAGGUCAUCAUGGCCCUUACGGGCUGGGCUACAAACGUGCUACAAUGGCGACUACAAAGGGCAGCAAUCCCGCGAGGGGGAGCAAAUCCUAAAAAGUCGUCUCAGUUCAGAUUGCAGGCUGCAACUCGCCUGCAUGAAGUUGGAAUCGCUAGUAAUCGUAGAUCAGCUAUGCUACGGUGAAUACGUUCCCGGGUCUU
rnacentral:rRNA from 1 species